GACGAACGCUGACGGCGUGCUUAACACAUGCAAGUCGAAGGGAGUGGCGAACGGGUGAGUAACACGUGAGUAACCUGCCCUUUUCUUUGGGAUAAGACUGGGAAACUGGGUCUAAUACUGGAUGGCUUGGGAUGGGCUCGCGGCUUGUCGGGUUGUUGGUGGGGUGAUGGCUUACCAAGGCUUUGACGGGUGGCCGGCCUGAGGGGGUGGUCGGGCACGCUGGGACUGAGAUACGUCCCAGACUCCUACGGGAGGCAGCAGUGGGGGAUAUUGCACAAUGGACGAAAGGCUGAUGCAGCGACGUCGUGUGGGGGAUGAAGGCCUUCGGGUUGUAAACUCCUUUCGCCCGCGGAAUGGUAGUGGGUAAAGAAGCGCCGGCUAACUACGUGCCAGCCGCCGCGGUAAUAC
rnacentral:rRNA from 1 species